rnacentral:rRNA from 1 species
GAUGAACGCUGGCGGCGUGCCUAAUACAUGCAAGUCGAGCGAACGGACGAGAAGCUUGCUUCUCUGAUGUUAGCGGCGGACGGGUGAGUAACACGUGGAUAACCUACCUAUAAGACUGGGAUAACUUCGAGAAACCGGAGCUAAUACCGGAUAAUAUUUUGAACCGCAUGGUUCAAAAGUGAAAGACGGUCUUGCUGUCACUUAUAGAUGGAUCCGCGCUGCAUUAGCUAGUUGGUAAGGUAACGGCUUACCAAGGCAACGAUGCAUAGCCGACCUGAGAGGGUGAUCGGCCACACUGGAACUGAGACACGGCCCAGACUCCUACGGGAGGCAGCAGUAGGGAAUCUUCCGCAAUGGGCGAAAGCCUGACGGAGCAACGCCGCGUGAGUGAUGAAGGUCUUCGGAUCGUAAAACUCUGUUAUUAGGGAAGAACAUAUGUGUAAGUAACUGUGCACAUCUUGACGGUACCUAAUCAGAAAGCCACGGCUAACUACGUG